rnacentral:lncRNA from 1 species
GGGGAACAGUAAGAUCUAUAUUGUGCAAGUUGCUUACUGCCAAAUUCAGUGUCUAUUGAGAUACAACGAUACCAUCCAAAAGAAUACAAAGACAGUUUUUGAGGACAGGAGGACAGAAACAUGAUGAAGUGUGAAGAUUUUUCCAGUAUCACACACUGGACCAACAGAUCAAAAAAUUUGCAUCCUCAUAUUCUGCAUCUUGGAAACUCCAUCCUGACCUUUCCUGUUUGUCUGGGCCAGAAGCAAUGCCGCACCCGCUGCCUGGCAGUUUAUGUCAUGAUCUCCACUUAUGGUGAUGCUAAAGAAAAGGGUGUUCAAAUAUUUAUCUUCACAACCUAGAGCAUAUUAGUCCUCAAAGGUCUUUCAAAGGAUUUUUCAAGAAACAGCAAACUUCUUUCAGGUUUGUUUCUGAUGUAACAUUACUGUACUUGGUACAUCAGUACCAAUAUCUACUGCAUGGUCAAUGCCAUUGAGGCAAAUAACACUUGACUUGGAGAGUAUCAGGAUUUGGAAGUGGAUGAGUCACACCUUCUGAGCAAAUCUUGGUCCAUGACUUCACAAAGACUGCUUCUGACUGCUUUAGUUAAAGUCAGAGAAACUGAAAGCACACCUUUCAAGUGGCCAGAUGUGGAAAAGAUGAAAAUAUCUGUUGUGCCCUGAACAGCCUAGACUGACUGCUGUAAUGAGAUGUUUGGGUGGAAAUGUGAGUGAAGUGAGCUUGAUCUGAAUGCUAAUGCAGCCGUAAGUAGAGCUGACCUGAUUUCUACUCACUGAGUGGAUGGGAAAUGAAUUUACACAACCUUUAUUCUGUUUUUCUGGGAAAGUAAGAUGUCAAAUACACAUGCAUCCCAGAUUCUUACAAAAAGUAAUUUUUUAAAAUUCUAUAUGGCACAACUUUCCCCCUAGAUUUUGCAGAAUUCUGAAUAAUUUGGCUUAAUUCACUCACUUAGAAGAAGUAAACUUCUAAGUCAAAACAAGCUUACCUUGCUGACUUUGUUUCCUGUGUAUUCCCUUUCACUAACUCAGGCUUUCCCCCCUAGUUUGAUUCACAUUUACAAAAGUGAAAAUUAGCUUAUCCAGUGUUAGUGAUAAAUGCUGGUCAAUCCUUUAAAAUAUCCAGUAGAAGGCUAGUCAGCUAAAAGCAACUUGUAGUGGAAUAUUGAUCACAACAUGCAAGAGAACCUUGUGUGCUACAGUGAAGACAUGCAAAGGCAGAAACAAGAGAGUACCUUUGGUGGGGCAGAUUUGGUGGUGUAAGUAUUAGCUGGAAAAACAGUGGUGCCUGACUGUAAAAACUAAUAUGGGAGUUUUAUCACUAGAAUAGUGCUCAGUUCCAUGUAGAAAAAGACUGGUUUUCAGACUGAAUCUAUAUAUAAAUAUCAAAAUUGCAAACUGCUCUAUAGCUUGAGGACAGGUGCCUGAGAGCUUCAUUAGCAGCAGCAGUGAAGAUGUUACUGAGUGAGUAACUUCAGCCAGUAUCUGAGAAAUUAUGUAGUUUUGACACAGAAACUGACAUCUCAGAUAUGAAAAAAAGCUGCUUUGCCUGUAUAUAGGUUUCAGUGGCAGUUAGGAGUGCUAAUUUUAACAGUGAAGAGGUAAAUAUACCAGCACUUCUAUCAGAGAGGUAUCACAACUAUUGUCAGGUUAGCAUGCAAAUGGUCCACCUAGGCUGCUGUUGAAAACCGAGUUUGGAAGAGAACUCUUGUUUCCAAGCCUCAGAGGUUGUUGCCUUUCCAAAGGCACACAGCUCAAGCUGAAAUAAACCAACUCUGCCUCAGAACGUAGGGUCCUAA